GGAUGGGGUGAAGCAGCUUGGGCCUUUGACGCUUUGGUCUCCUGGUAGAUUUGGUCAUAUCAUCCUCUUCAAAAACCAGCUCUUCUCUGGAGAUGAGAGAUUCCUCAGAAAGGUUUUCAAUGGAGACAUGGUCCUUUUCAGAUAUCAGCUGAGCAGCUGGGACCAAGGAGAUGGAAUGAGGGGCAGAGAAAGAGCUCAUGGUAAGCAACAGCCAGCCAGCUCUCUGCCAUAUCCCUUAACAUGCAGGGAGUGUCAGGGUUGGGCCAUUGCUCAGUCAGUGUAGACCAGAAUUGAGAUCCAAUACCCACAUCCAAAUCUAUGAGCACCUAAGGGCACACCCCUGAUUUUGAAUGCCGUUGAAUAGGGAUUCCAUUUCUAGCACAUUCACCUUCCCUAUGAAAAGAGAUUAACUAUGCAAACACCCGAUCCAUUGUCUGGUGCAUAGGAGGGGCUCAAUAAAUACUGGCUCUUUUUUUCUGA